CCCAUAUUGGAAUAGUUUAUUCAGGUUCAAGAAAUACAAAUCAUUGAUCCUUAAGCAUGACCACUGUUUUUGAAGUGAUGUGAGUACCCUGCUAGCAACUUAGAUAGCUGGUCUUGAGAAAGUGUGGGAUGUGAAACCUUUGGUUAAUGGGAAAGAGAUUAUGAGUGUUUUGCAGCUUAAAUCUGGAUGGCCACUUAUUAGGGAGUGGGUAAGGCAAUCUUUAUGCAUCUAAGACCCAAAAAGUAAAAAGGUUUCAAGUUCCAAAUGCUAAUUAACUCUUUACUUUACAGCAAAAAAAAAACUCAUGGCAGCUUGCCCAUCCCUCUGCGACAGCAGAGGAAUGCCUUGGCUGGACGAAGCAAACCUACUCAAAGCGUGUAAAGCUGGAGUCCGGCAAUUCAGUCCAUUGAUCAGAGCUACAAUAGUUAGUGUUAGUUAUUUUGGAUUAUACAUUUGGAAAAGCAUUCUGAAGCCUACGAACAUCCUUUGGUUCUGGAUGCCAAAGUUUGUUACGUUAGCAGUGAGAUCGAAUUCGAGUCAUUUUACGGCAAAGAGAUUU